rfam:Betaproteobacteria bacterium RIFCSPLOWO2_12_FTLL_64_23 rifcsplowo2_12_scaffold_3706, whole genome shotgun sequence.
CUACUGGCAUCGCGAGGUGCCGGGAUGGGUUGGCAGAAGUCAGCAGAGGUCGUAGUAGUCACUGCAAGCGGAGUGGCGAAGGGC